GGGCGGUUAGCUCAGGUGGUUUAGAGCGCCUGCCUUACAAGCAGGAGGUCACUGGUUCGAGUCCAGUAUCGCCCACCA
rnacentral:tRNA from 1 species